AGAGGUCCGCCUGCCCUGUGACUCUAAGUUUAACGGCCGCGGUAUCUUAACCGUGCGAAGGUAGCGCAAUCACUUGUCUCUUAAAUGGGGACCUGUAUGAAUGGCAUAACGAGGGCUUAGCUGUCUCCUUUCUCAAGUUAAUGAAAUUGACCUUCCCGUGCAGAGGCGGGAAUACUUCCAUAAGACGAGAAGACCCUAUGGAGCUUUAGGCACAAGAACUGCUCAUGUAAAAAAUCUCUCACAAAAGAAUAAAACUUUGUGAUUACAGUUCAUAUGCCUUUGGUUGGGGCGACCGCGGGGCAACAAAAAACCCCCAUGUGGACUGGGGCUACAACCCCUAGAAACAAGAGCUCCCGCUCUACUUAACAGAAAUUCUGACCUUACUGAUCCGGCAAUAGCCGAUCAACGAACCGAGUUACCCUAGGGAUAACAGCGCAAUCCCCUUAUAGAGCCCAUAUCGACAAGGGGGUUUACGACCUCGAUGUUGGAUCAGGAUAUCCUAAUGGUGCAGCCGCUAUUAAGGGUUCGUUUGUUCAACGAUUAAAAUCCUACGUGAUCUGAGUUC
rnacentral:rRNA from 1 species